rnacentral:rRNA from 1 species
CCUACGGGCGACAGCAGUGGGGGAUAUUGCACAAUGGGGGAAACCCUGAUGCAGCGACGCCGCGUGUGGGAAGACGGUCCUCUGGAUUGUAAACCACUGUCCCCAGGGACGAAGAUGACGGUACCUGGGGAGGAAGCUCCGGCUAACUACGUGCCAGCAGCCGCGGUAAUACGGAGGGAGCAAGCGUUGUCCGGAAUUACUGGGUGUAAAGGGAGCGUAGGCGGGAUGGCAAGUUGGGUGUUAAAUCUACCGGCUCAACUGGUAGUCGCACUCAAAACUGCUAUUCUUGAGUGAAGUAGAGGCAGGCGGAAUUCCUAGUGUAGCGGUGAAAUGCGUAGAUAUUUGGAGGAACACCAGUGGCGAAGGCGACGAUCUGGCCUGCAACUGACGCUCAGUCCCGAAAGCGUGGGGAGCAAAUAGGAUUAGAUACCCUGGUAGUC